UUACGCUCUGUCCUGGCGGGGUGUGGCUAAAUAGGCAGUGAGGAAAUGCUGCAGCCUCUUUCACAGGGGACUGGAUGGGGCCGUAACACAUCGAACAGCUGUACCUCCUCUGAAAAGCCAUUUCAGGUGAACCAAAGCAUUCUGCCCCUACGAGGAAGAAAGGGAGGCAGUGAGGAGAGAAUCAGGCCCAAAGAGCUGGGCCCAAGUGACAUUUAUAAAUAGGAACAUGGAAACUCACGGAAGAAGCCAAGCAAGACAUUUUUUUCCCUCUACAUGUGUCAGCACUUCCCAGAUGUGAUGAUGGUAUUUGAAAGAGCAUGAUCUGGAAAUCCUGAGCCGUGCUGCCACAAGAAAAUGGAUGCACAGAGGACAAGGCCAGGCAGCGCAGGUCUUCAUUACACUGAGACUUUGCCUGAGUCCCAUGGUGCCCCAGUGCCCUGGCCUGGGCACAUCAGCACUGCCUUCUGUCCAGGCCCCAUGAGUCUCAGAUGGUGGACCCUGGUGACGGAAGGCUGGGUAGAUGCCAUGGACCUUUCCAUAGGUCAUAGCCACAGCUGAGCACUUGGUGUCUUACUACUCAGUGGAGAGGAGAAGUGUGCUGAAGGGUGGUAAGAGAGUGUGUCCAGGGGCCCAGACCAGAGUGGGCCAUGCCUCAUCUAGAGAGCAAGCAUCUUCCAGAAAGGAGAGCCCUUGGGUCCUUUUACAGAAGCAAUCAGAAAAACAUCGGGAAUCUCCCAGAAGACUGAAUGUAAGAGGACGAAGGGUCCGGGCACAGUGGCUCAUUCCUGUAAUCCCAGAACUUUGGGAGACUGAGGUGAGUGGAUCACUUGAGGUCAGGAGUUCGAGACCAGCCUGAACAACAUGGUGAAACCCCAUCUCUACUAAAAAUACAAUAUUAGCUGGGCAUAGUGGCGCAUGCCUGUAAUCCCAGCUACUCAGGAGGCUGAGGCAGGAGAAUCGCUUGAACCCAGGAGGAGGAGGUUGCAGUGAGCCGAGAUUGCAUCACCGCAUUCCAGCCUGGGCAACAAAGCAAGACUUCAUCACACACACACACACACACACACACACACACACACACACACAAACGAAACAACAACAACAACAAAACCAAAAAAAAAGAAAAAGAAAAGUCAGGUCUGGGGAGCUGAAGUGGCUGACAGAGGAGGAGGAGAAUUAUCUGCAGUGCUUCCCAAAUUCAGGACACUCACCCAGUGCAUCUCAAAGCCUGAGUCCUCAUAUCUCUUCUGGGGAAAGGAGAGAAAGAAUUGCUGGUGGAUUCUGCUGUGUUUUGCCUUGAGGUCAUUAUGGGCAAAAUUUCACACCUAUAAGGCCCAUUGCUGAGGAGGGAGUGGACCUCUGUGAUUCCUCUUGAGCAAAGGAAUAAACAUCCUAAGUUUGUGAGUAAAGCGUCCAUCACAUUCUCUGGAGCCAUCACUGCUGUUUGGAGAGGUGGGAGUUGAGAGAGGCCAUUACUGGGCAGAACCUGAGUUUUCACUUGAAGAUUCGUCCCUUAUGAAUCCAGCCCCUAGAAAACAGAGCAGCCAGCAGGCCUGUGACAUUUCAGUUUGGCUAUAAAAACUACAGGUUAAUAAUAAAACUCUUUUCUGGUUUUAAAAUUAUAUUCACGUGCAUCAGCUCACAUUUCUGAAAAAGCACUUAGGACAGCACCUGAGGCAACUUAAGCAUCAUAUAAAUGUUGGUUUUGUGGUCAUUCUUGUUUUAUAAUUAUUAUUAUUUGUAUCCUCACCCUGGUAGGCAGACAAGGCCAUAGUCAAUAUUAUAGUCGUUUUAUGGAUAAUAAAAAAUGGGAGAGGAAUUAAGUAACCUAUUUAAAUUCAUAUAAUAAACAAAUGGCAGAGCCAGGACUUGAAGCCAGGUUUUUAGGCUGCACAUCUCAGCUUUAACAAAUGACAGAACACCUGCUCUCACAUGUGGCUUUAUUUGUCACCUAACCACCCUCUUAGGCAGGUAGGCACUGGGGGCAGUGCUCAUGAGCUAGGCUUUUCAGCAAGAACCAGACAUGGAUAUGUAUUGGUUCUGUCACUUACCAGCCCUGUGACCUGGAGCUGGUUUUUUAACCUCUCUGGGCCCCACAAUUUUCACUGGUAGAUGGAGUAACAGUAGUGCUGACAUCCAGGGCUGUGGAUGAGGAUUGGGGAAGAUAUUUUGAUAUGAGUCUAGUGCUCAGCACACAAUGGCAGUGAUUAUAAUCACAAUAUGGUCAUUUUUCAGAUGAGAAAACUAGCUCAGAGAACAAAUGUGAUUUUCUAAAGAUUUGGGUUUCCUUGCUCCUAAUUCCUAGUUCCUGCCACCACUGAAAUCAGGACCGUAGAUGUUGCUCUCAGCAUGACCAUUAGUUUAGACAGCUGUAGGUAAUCAGAGCCAAGCAAUGCCCUCCCAAAUACAACAAUCACACACAGAAAAACAUGGAACCCUUCUGCAGAUGCCUUCCUUCACUAGCCCUAACCUCACUCUAGUGUCAUCUUUAUUUGGUUCAAGCCCUACCCAGUAUUUCUGUCUUCACCUGGAUUUAAAUGCUCCUGUGAUCACACAUAAGCUUUCAUGCAUCUAUGUCUCGUUUCUAUAAUCAUUACAGUGUAAGUGAACAUAUAAUAGCUGCUUCUUCAGACCACACUUCCUCUCGGCAGUGCCUACCACAAUCAUGGUAGGUAUUGACUCUAUGUCUAGUGGCCCCACCUUUCCUCUGUAGCCCAAGCCACAUAUCUUUGUUGCUUCCUUUUACUUCUUUGCUAGUCACAGUUUGUAGUUGCAGACAACAGAGUCCAUUUCCAUUUCUGAAAGAAAGAUUUUUCCUUCUUUUUUCUUCUUCUCUCUCUUUUCUUCUCACUCACAGAAUUAUUCGAAGGGUAGACAUCUGAGCUCUAGACUAAGCUCCCAGGUCCACAUGUAGAUUUGUCCCAUUCACGUCGAUGCAGUUGUCCCUGAGAUGAGAAACCACACAGCUUUUGCCGUCCCCUGUACCAGCAAAAUGGAUGCCCCCUGUCCAGCCUGUGUCCCUGCAUAGGUUACUUCUGGAUGGAAUUCUCAUACUGGUGCAUCUGGCUAGUUGAAUCAGGCACAUUUCUGCCCCCAAGCUGUGAGGGAGGCUGGGAAAUGUAGGUUUUGUUUCUGCUCUGGGAAGGCAAGGGUAACACUGAUGGAAACUAUCCACGAGUUAAUGGAGCAUUUAAAGUAUUUGGGGGACACAGAGCAAAGACAAGGUGUAUAAUCCAUCUUCAGCAUCCACAUGUAAUUGGUAAGCAAAUUUCAGCAGUUCUAAAUAUGAACACUUCUGGGAUUCAUCUACUUCUCUCUACCCCACUGCAGUCCUUUGGCUCAGUGCUUCUCACAUGGACAAUGGCAACAGCUUGUAAGUAGUCUCUCUGGCUCAGUCCCCUUUCUGCCCUAUCUCACGUAUGUUUUGUAGCCAGUGUUACUCCUUUGCUUAAAAUCCUCAAAGCUCCUGGUUGCUUUCAGAAGUGAGUUUAAACUUAUAAUUAUGGCUUUUAAAAUCCUUUGGAAUCUCAGGCCGGGGGUGGUGGCUCACGUCUGUAAUCCCAGCACUUUGGGAGGCUGAAGCGGGUGGAUCACC
rnacentral:lncRNA from 10 species